GGAGCUCAGGAUAAUGGUCUUCACCAUUGACGAUGAGCUUGUUAGGCCUAUGCCCUAACAAUUCCUCUUCUCCUCUGUUCUCAUUCGUCUCCAAUUUGCAUUUUCGUCACUGCCUUCGCCUCUUCCCCGUCCCUCGCGUUUCCAACCAUUGCUGUGUAUCAGGGACAAAAGGUUUGGUCUUAACAGCGCAAUUUGGUUAUAAGAGCGAUAGUCAGAGUGAGUUCCAACCAAAGGAUUUGAUGGCUGAAGAAAAGGAAAUUUCAGGAAUAAAAAGAAGUCCUUACCCACCUAUUGAGCCAUACAGUACUGGUUUCUUGAAAGUGUCGGAUCUUCACACUAUUUACUGGGAGCAAUCUGGGAAUCCCGCCGGUCAUCCGGUGGUCUUUCUACAUGGGGGACCAGGGGGAGGAACUGCUCCAGGCAAU
rnacentral:misc_RNA from 1 species